GUGCUAUACAUGCAAGUCGAGCGGACAGAUGGGAGCUUGCUCCCUGAUGUUAGCGGCGGACGGGUGAGUAACACGUGGGUAACCUGCCUGUAAGACUGGGAUAACUCCGGGAAACCGGGGCUAAUACCGGAUGCUUGUUUGAACCGCAUGGUUCAGACAUAAAAGGUGGCUUCGGCUACCACUUACAGAUGGACCCGCGGCGCAUUAGCUAGUUGGUGAGGUAACGGCUCACCAAGGCGACGAUGCGUAGCCGACCUGAGAGGGUGAUCGGCCACACUGGGACUGAGACACGGCCCAGACUCCUACGGGAGGCAGCAGUAGGGAAUCUUCCGCAAUGGACGAAAGUCUGACGGAGCAACGCCGCGUGAGUGAUGAAGGUUUUCGGAUCGUAAAGCUCUGUUGUUAGGGAAGAACAAGUGCCGUUCAAAUAGGGCGGCACCUUGACGGUACCUAACCAGAAAGCCACGGCUAACUACGUGCCAGCAGCCGCGGUAAUACGUAGGUGGCAAGCGUUGUCCGGAAUUAUUGGGCGUAAAGGGCUCGCAGGCGGUUUCUUAAGUCUGAUGUGAAAGCCCCCGGCUCAACCGGGGAGGGUCAUUGGAAACUGGGGAACUUGAGUGCAGAAGAGGAGAGUGGAAUUCCACGUGUAGCGGUGAAAUGCGUAGAGAUGUGGAGGAACACCAGUGGCGAAGGCGACUCUCUGGUCUGUAACUGACGCUGAGG
rnacentral:rRNA from 1 species